rnacentral:lncRNA from 10 species
GACUGAAGGUUUUUAAUUUUGGAUAAAAAACAUGGUAUCAUCCAAACAUUUGCAAAUUGUAACACAACUGCAGUAGAGGGCCAAUGAUCUCUGUGGCACUGGACAAAACAACUGGCAGUGAACAUUGUCACUGGGUCACACAUCCAUACCGCAGUGGUGUAACAGGCUCAAGAAAACACAUGACAGGGAAUUAAAGUCAAUCAUUCACACUGUUGUACCUUGGCAAGUUCAGACUUGAGCUGCUGUGACAGUGUCAGUCUGUAAACCUGGAGCUAAUAAAAAGUCAGGUUCUCAAAGAACCUAUAUGGUUCAAUUCUGAAUUAUACAUCAGUUGCAUGAUCUUCAUGCAGGUAUGUGGCUGACAUUAACAUAUUACAGAUAACACUGGUCAUAUACUUGAAUCUUACUUUUAAAGCUGCCUGAUAAUAUAUCCCAGAGAAAAGGCCAAUUGCUUCACUUUGGUUUGUAUCUCUGGCUUGGCAUGUCCCAAAGUACUCAUUAAACUUAGCUAGACAAUAUCAAAGUAAGAGGCUUAGCACUAAAAGAGUUUCUAAUUUCUGGGACAAAUCUUCUUCAUCUGAAUGCCCAAAUAACCUAUGAGACCAGAUGCUACUAAAGUUCUAGUAAACACACACACAUACACACAUACACAGACACACACACACACAAAUAGCUAUACUAUGAGUUAUAUUCCAGAAGGACUGAACUUGUUAGCUGUUCCUAAGCCAGAGGCAUUGUCAAACUAUAAUAUACAACAUGCUCUGCUUCAGAAACAGAAUAUGUGCUCUGCAUUCUCAUUGGCAUUCACAAAAUGAAGACACCACCCUGUCUGCAAAUGCAAGUGAAGUGGAGACUUGGCGGCACUUUAUGUGAACUGGUGAGAAAUCCAGUGUUGCUUCAGCAAAAGAAGCAAAAGAGAGAUAAGGACUGAUCUGCCUCAGGGAUAUAUUAAGGGGAGAGAAUACCACCCGUCAUCCUUCACUCUCUAAAAGAAGAGAAAACCCAGGACUACAUAUCACAACAGAGAAAAAUGUUGACAAAGAAAAUACACAACUCACAGCAUUCUUAAGGAAACAGUUUCUACCAGUGUAAAAGCCUUAAAAAGAAAAUAUAUUAGCCCCAGUACCACUUGGAAAAGACUUUUGGACCUUAUUGUGAACAAUUUAAUCUCAAGGAGCACAUGAAAUUUUAAACAACCGGAAUGCUGGUAAUCAUGGAUAGGUAUAUACUUUUUUUGUUGAACUGGCCAGGUAUAUUUCUGUAUUACUCUCUUCCUCCGACCCUUCCCACCUCCUUCUCCACAACUGGGAUUCUGUAAAGGCUGGUGUAGAGCCCUCUAAAAAGUUAAGAGUACAAAGCCAUGAAAAUGGUUGAAGGGUUAAUAAAGCUUUGGAAGAGAAAAAAGCUUUUAGGUUACCCCCAAUGCUUUAAAAAGCACCAAGAGACAGGACACCAGACUUAAUAUGGAAGCCACUGGUUUCACACAUGCCAACUUCCGAGCAUAUUUUUGUUCAGCUCCUGCAAGACCCAUGGGUCUAAAUGAGACAGCUGCUUUUUUAUUUUUGCUUUUUUGUAAUAUGUUCUUUAUUAUUAUUAUUAUUAUUAUUAUUAUUAUUAUUAUUAUUAUUUAAGUUUUAGGGUACAUGUGCACAACGUGCAGGUUUGUUACAUAUAUAUAUAUGUCAUGUUGGUGUGCUGCACCCAUUAACUUGUCAUUUAACAUUAGGUAUAUCUACUAAUGCUAUCCCUCCCCCCUCCCAACCCCACAACAGGCCCCGGUGUGUGAUGUUCCCCUUCCUGUGUCCAUGUGUUCUCAUUGUUCAAUUUCGACCUAUGAGUGAGAACAUGUGAUGUUUGGUUUUUUGUCCUUGCAAUAGUUUACUGAGAAUGAUGGUUUCCAGCUUCCUCCAUGUCCCUACAAAGGACAUGAACUCAUCAUUUUUUAUGGCUGCAUAGUAUUCCAUGGUGUAUAUGUGCCACAUUUUCUUAAUCCAGUCUAUCAUUGUUGGACAUUUGGCUUGGUUCCAAGUCUUUGCUAUUGUGAAUAGUGCCACGAUAAACAUAUGUGUGCAUGGAGACAGCUGCUUUCAAAGCACACUUCUCUUUUAUGAAAACAGUCACAAAUCGCAGAGAGUGUAACAUGCUUUUACUUGCAUUGACAUGUAAAGGAGACAAGGGCUGCCAAGACUGGUGACAAUACUAGUACUUCCUAUUUAAGGGGAAGGCAAAGACUGUCAGUAUCACAGCCAGGGAAUCAGAGAAGACAUGUUUUAUAGGGCUUGAAAAGUAAGUUUUUUGUUUUUGUUUUUUGCUUUGGAAAAGUUUCUAUGCCACCAUCAAAUACUUUGAAAUCACAACUGCUUUUAAAAGGACAAGAAAACAAGAGUCCAUUAUGACCUCACAUCUUUCCAUUUGUCUGUUUUUGCCUGACAGCUCAACCAUUUCUUCACAGUAUAUUUAAAAAAAAAAAAAGGAAUAACAUGUAAGGGUUAAGCCUUGUCUUUCUAUUUGUUUUUAAAUGUGUACAUAGAAAGGCAGGUUUAGAUUUGGCACUUAGAAUAAAGCAACCAGAUUUGGUUGGAAUCAUAUCUGUCUGUAUCAUACAAAGAAUUCUCAGAGUGAGACGCCUAAAGGUGGGGUAAAGAUUUGGUUUAGAUAUCACUAAAUCCUCAUGUGAUAUCUAGAUAAGCAAAACCACUU